rnacentral:lncRNA from 1 species
CAGAAGGUAUGGAAUAUAAUAUACCAGAAGGGGAAAGAUCUAGGUUUACAACAUAGUAUCAGCUAUCCAACAAAACUUUCUUCAUAUUCUUUAUAUUCUUUAGCAGGGGAAAAUGGUCAUUUAAUAAAAUAGAAGAUUCCAAAGCAUUCCUGAUGGAAAAGACCAGACCUAAACAGAAAAAUUUAUGUCCAAAUACAAGACCCAGGAAAAGCCUAAAAAAGGAAACACAUCUGAGGCAGGGAGACACACACAGAGUAAAGACCUCAAGAGAUCAAGUCCUAAGAAUUUAAAGCUGGAGAAAACCUUAGAGAUUAUCUAAUUAAAUCCCCUGAUGAUGUGAUGAUGAAAUUGAAGCUCACAGUGGUUCCCAGUCCCAAAUCACUGAGAAGCAGAUCUGGG